rnacentral:rRNA from 1 species
GACGAACGCUGGCGGCGUGCUUAACACAUGCAAGUCGAACGGAAAGGCCCUGCUUUUGUGGGGUGCUCGAUUGGCGAACGGGUGAGUAACACGUGAGUAACCUGCCCUUGACUUUGGGAUAACUUCAGGAAACUGGGGCUAAUACCGGAUAGGAGCUCCUGCUGCAUGGUGGGGGUUGGAAAGUUUCGGCGGUUGGGGAUGGACUCGCGGCUUAUCAGCUUGUUGGUGGGGUAGUGGCUUACCAAGGGUUUGACGGGUAGCCGGCCUGAGAGGGUGACCGGCCACAUUGGGACUGAGGUACGGCCCAGACUCCUACGGGAGGCAGCAGUGGGGAAUAUUGCACAAUGGGCGGAAGCCUGAUGCAGCAACGCCGCGUGCGGGAUGACGGCCUUCGGGUUGUAAACCGCUUUCGCCUGUGACGAAGCGUGAGUGACGGUAAUGGGUAAAGAAGCACCGGCUAACUACGUG